rnacentral:rRNA from 1 species
AUUGAACGCUGGCGGCAGGCCUAACACAUGCAAGUCGAACGGUAACAGGAAGCAGCUUGCUGCUUUGCUGACGAGUGGCGGACGGGUGAGUAAUGUCUGGGAAACUGCCCGAUGGAGGGGGAUAACUACUGGAAACGGUAGCUAAUACCGCAUAACGUCGCAAGACCAAAGAGGGGGACCUUAGGGCCUCUCGCCAUCGGAUGUGCCCAGAUGGGAUUAGCUAGUAGGUGGGGUAACGGCUCACCUAGGCGACGAUCCCUAGCUGGUCUGAGAGGAUGACCAGCCACACUGGAACUGGGACACGGUCCAGACUCCUACGGGAGGCAGCAGUGGGGAAUAUUGCACAAUGGGCGCAAGCCUGAUGCAGCCAUGCCGCGUGUAUGAAGAAGGCCUUCGGGUUGUAAAGUACUUUCAGCGGGGAGGAAGGGAGUAAAGUUAAUACCUUUGCUCAUUGACGUUACCCGCAGAAGAAGCACCGGCUAACUCCGU